rnacentral:rRNA from 1 species
CCCCUAGACGUUCUGGGCUGCACGCGCGCUACAAUAAUACGCACAGCGAGUAUCACCGAGCUCGAAAGGGCAAGGUAAACAAUAGAAAAGGUACUGUAAUGGUUAUAGAUCCUUGUAAUUAUUGAUCUUCAACGAGGAAUUCCUAGUAAGUAUGUGUCAUCAUCACGCACUGAUUACGUCCCUGCCCGUUGUACACACCGCCCGUCGCUCCUACCGAUUGGGUGAGCCGAUGAAACUCUCGGAUGUAGGCUAUUCAUAGCCCGCAGAAGAGAUUUGAAUCGUAGCGCUUAGAGGAAGGAGAAGUCGUAACA